GGAGGGAUGUCCGAGUGGUUUAAGGAGCACGCCUGGAAAGCGUGUAUAGGGCCAAAAGCCCUAUCGAGGGUUCGAAUCCCUCUCCCUCCGCCA
rnacentral:tRNA from 2 species